UUAAGUGUUUAGGUGAAUCUCUAUGUAUAUUAUUCAUUAAAAGGAAAUUUUAUAUAUAUAUAUAGAGAGAGAGAGAGUUAGACUGGUAUAUUAUCGGUAACACGAAGGCCUCUAUGCUAUCAAGUUAUUUUCAAUGAUGUGGCUUCCAAAUCGACGAUCGGCUCCGUUAGACUUGAUUUACAGUAUUGAAAGUAUUUGGAAACCAAAUUUCAUAAUUUAUCGAUAUCAUUUACCUAUCAAACGAGUAGUCAAAAAAUAAACGGCUGAAAAUAAAAAUCUCAUAAAAAAUAUUGAUAAAAGACUUGAAUUUAAGAUCAGAGGUACUGAUCUUAAUUACUCUAAAUAGUAAAAAAAAAUUUCUAUAAAAGUUUCUUCAGAUUUUGAUUGUUUUAUACCGUUAAAUUCACAAACUUAUCACAUUGAUCAUUAAAAUUGUCAAUUUUGAGACCUUUUGAUCAUUAGCAAAAUGACGUCGAAAAAUUAUGAAAUUUAGUUUCUAAAUACUUUUAAUAGUAUAGAUAAGUCUAACGGAGCCGAUCGUUGAUUUGGAAGCCGCAUCAUUAAAAACAAUUUGGUAGUAUGGAGGUCUCCGUACUAUUGAUAGUACACCAGCCUAUCUCUCUCUCUCUCUCUCUCUCUCUCUCUCUCUCUCUCUCUCUCUCUCUCUCUCUAUAUAUAUAUAUAUAUAUAUAUAUAUAUAUAUAUAUAUAGUCCGGCUGGGAUACUAUCGAUAGAACCAAGUAUUUGGUGCUAUCAAGUUUUCUGCCAUUAGAUUUAAUCAUUUUGACUAUUUUCAUCCGUUACAUUAUACUAUUUAACCAAUAACUCUCUCAACUCUAAGAGGCUUACAUCAUUCUAACUGUAUAUUUUUUUAUCUAAGGGGCCCAUAUGUGGGUUUUGCUGAAUUGGUUUUGGAGAAUAUUUGUGUUUUGCGUAAUAGAAAUAUGGAUUAUUUAUUGACUACUAUGAUCUUAAAUUAAAAAUGUUCUGUUUAGCUCCCACAUUUUCCCCAAAAUUUUCUUAAAUCACACUCCGCCAAUUAAUCUUUGUUCCUUAAUAAAUAAUAAGAUACAUAUUACAUCCAUAAAAUUAUAUUAUUCCUUUAAAAA
rnacentral:lncRNA from 1 species